CCUUCCUAUAUCUACCCGACACCCUCCCUCGCCGGAAAACCCUAGCCGCUUUCCCCUUCCCCCUCGCUCGUAUCUCCUCUAAAUAGUACGUGCUCGAGACGUCGACGGCGCGCCCUCGUCGAUCCCGUGGUCACCUUGCUCCCCGCCGGUUAGCUCAAUGUCCGGGAGCUUUGUCUGCCUCCUCUACGUCGACCACGCACAUAAGAUCAAGGCCGGAGACCCUACCUCGACUGGAUCGAGCUCGUCCUCGCCUUCGGUCACCAACGCCACUCCGACGAACUACACCACCCCCUGCGCUUCUAGUCACUCACCGGGCCUUCGUGCGCCUCCUUGGUGGUGGAUCCUUGGAGCCAGAUGCCACCGCCGACGGAUACUGCUACUUGGAGACCGCCGCCGACGAGGAGUAGUUAGGAGGUCCCAGGCAGGAGGCCUUGCCUCUUCGAUCGUGUUGCUUUUGUGCUAGCCUUCUUAAGGCAAACUUGUUUAACUUAUGUCUGUACCCAGAUAUUGUUGCUUCCGCUGACUCUUGUGUAUCGAGUGUAUCGAGCUAUGUAUUCGAGCCCUCGAGGCCCCUGGCUUGUAAUAUAAAGCUUGUAUUAUUUUA